rnacentral:misc_RNA from 1 species
CAGAGUUGUCGCCCUCGCGGGUAGAUCUCCCACCCACUGUUAUUGCUACCGCGUUGCUUUGGCGGGCUGCUGGGCCUAGCCCGGCCGCCGGCUCCGGCCGGGGCGCGCCCGCCAGAGGCCCGACAAAUUCUGAUUGUCAGUGUCGUCUGAGUACUAUAUAAUAGUUA